rnacentral:rRNA from 1 species
UGAAACCGUGUGCUUACAAGUAGUCAGAGCCCGUUAAUGGGUGAUGGCGUGCCUUUUGUAGAAUGAACCGGCGAGUUACGAUUUGAUGCAAGGUUAAGCAGUAAAUGUGGAGCCGUAGCGAAAGCGAGUCUGAAUAGGGCGUUUAGUAUUUGGUCGUAGACCCGAAACCAGGUGAUCUACCCUUGGUCAGGUUGAAGUUCAGGUAACACUGAAUGGAGGACCGAACCGACUUACGUUGAAAAGUGAGCGGAUGAACUGAGGGUAGCGGAGAAAUUCCAAUCGAACCUGGAGAUAGCUGGUUCUCUCCGAAAUAGCUUUAGGGCUAGCCUCAAGUGAUGAUUAUUGGAGGUAGAGCACUGUUUGGACGAGGGGCCCCUCUCGGGUUACCGAAUUCAGACAAACUCCGAAUGCCAAUUAAUUUAACUUGGGAGUCAGAACAUGGGUGAUAAGGUCCGUGUUCGAAAGGGAAACAGCCCAGACCACCAGCUAAGGU